GAAAUGCGAUAAGUAAUGUGAAUUGCAGAAUUCAGUGAAUCAUCGAAUCUUUGAACGCAGCUUGCGCUCCUUGGUCUUCCUUGGAGCAUACCUGUUUGAGUAUCAUGAAAUCUUCAAAGUAAAUCUUUUGUUAACUCAAUUGGUUUCUACUUUGGUAUUGGAGGUCUUUGCAGCUUCACACCUGCUCCUCUUUGUUCAUUAGCUGGAUCUCAGUGUUAUGCUUGGUUCCACUCGGCGUGAUAAGUUAUCUAUCGCUGAGGACACUGUAAAAGGUGGCCAAGGUAAAUGCAGAUGAACCGCUUCUAAUAGUCCAUUGACUUGGACAAUACUUUUAUGAUCUGAUCUCAAAUCAGGUAGGACUACCCGCUGAACUUAAGC
rnacentral:misc_RNA from 1 species